rnacentral:lncRNA from 1 species
UUUUCUUUUUUCUCUCUUCCAUCCCCCAAGUGGAGGACAGAGGCUGAGCUCUGGAAGAAGGCAAUGUGAGCGGAUUGCUGGAGCCCCAUUAGUUUGCUCCUCGUUCUUCCCCAUGAGCCUGCCUGUUGCUCUGGUCCUGCUGGUUUGCAGUCACAGCUUCUGUGCUGCAGAGCCCAGUGGGGAACAGCUGGAGGUGCCAUGCUGUGGAGGAGAAAGAUGAGCAUAGGCCAUGAGCUUUCCUUCUCUCCAUGCCUCUUAUUUGACAGCAGAGCUGAGCCAGUCAGCCCUGAUGUUCCCUGGCAAAAUGCCUAUUAUGAUGAAAUAAGACUGGCUUUGUUUAUGGCUGUUUCAUUCAUUAGGUCACAAGGUUCCCAAAGUAAUCAAGAACCCCGGGGGGGGGGUGUUUGAAAAUAGCAAACACAGCGGGCAGAAGCACAGAAGGCUCCUUUGCAAAUAUGCAAUGUAUUUCAUUUGCCAUUUGAAUUUAUUUUUAAAUGAAAGAGGACUUAUAGAGGCAGAAAAGUGAAGACAGUAACUACAGACAGCUCUGCCCGGAGAAAUCCAGACUUCAUGUUCCACCCUUUACUGGGGUCAAAAGGCAAGGCUUGUAUUUGAAACAAAUGCAGUCCUCUUCACAAGCUGAGGUGGUUGCAGGAUGGGGCAACUGAUGCUGUUUUGCUCAAGUGCUGCUGCUGACCAGAAAAAUGGCUCCUAGUAAUCCAAAAUCUGGUUUUCUGCUUCUGUCAUUCCAUUAUGUUUAAGGUACAGUCUACUGAAUUACACUACUUUUCUUUAUAUAUCAUCAUAUAUGAUCUGUAUGGUCUUAGGUGGAGGAAAUUAAGUUAACCAGAUUUUCAGUACGCAGCAAUUGAACAACCCAAAUGAAGAGGUGACUCAUGUUGAGCUGUAAACAAAACCAGUAGAGGGCAUAGUUUAUAUAUAUAUGUAUAUAUACGUAUAUUAUAUACGUGUAUAUAUAUAUAUAUAUAUAUGUGUGUGUGUGUGCCUUCUUUUGUAAAGAGGCACAUUUACCAUCAAAGUAAAUUGGAAGGGAGGCUCAACCUGGGACAGACAGUCUUGUUUGUAGAAAGCUGCUGUGGAGGAUGUGUAGAUGUCACUGCCUCCUUGAGAGGCACCAUAAUACAGGAAAUUCAGCUACCAUGAGGACAUCUGAGACCAAUAUACUAUAAAGCUGUUCAGAAAGGGACUGGUCAAGAUAGUGGAGGCAGAUUAACCAUCAGCUAUUACAUAGGAUGGUCCAGAUACAAGGUGGCUUUUAUUGCCAGAAGUUGAGAAAGAUCUGCAGUGUGAUCUUUCAUUUCUUAAGCUGUUUUUGUUCAUCUGUCUUUAGCCACUGUUGGAAGCAGGAAACUGGUUAGGUCGAGUUAUAAGCAACUCAGGUCAACAUUAUAUUCAAGUCAGCAGAUAGCAGGGCAUUUUAGUUCUCAGCCCCUUAAAAUAGGCAAAUGGCAGCUCUCUCAGCUGAGCCAGAAAAGUAAUUUUCUGCAUGAAGUGUUCUAGGUAAUAAAGCAUCAUUUCUGUAGCUUUACUGGCAAUAAUGAAAAACCUGUGCUUGGAAGGAUAUUGUAAAAAAAAUUUAAGUCUCUGAAGGGUAAACAGGCCCUGAUUUCAUCUCAUGGAGAAGACUAAAGCUUACCAUCUUUAGUGACAUCCUAGGCUAUGGAAACAUUAAUUUAAUGAAAGAAAACUGCUUAUCAGCUGUGGCCUCUGUUACACGUAAAUAUAAUUCAUUCUUUCCACAUCUACCACAAUUGAGAGAUAAUAAUUUAAAAUGUGAACAGAAAUAUCACAGCUUUGUCCUCCUGAACUGAAUGGAGAGCAACAGCUACAUCAAUUGGAAUACUGAAGACUGCACCGACUGAAGAGCUACCUUUGUAACCACGACGGCUGUAAGGAGCUGCUGUACCUAUGGCAUUGCCUACGCUCUGGACUGCAGCAAGGCACAGGAACAUUCUCUGCAAGUCACUUUCCUUUUGCACACUUCAUGCCACUAGAUAAAGAGGAACAAGAUGUCAAAAGCGCUCAGUGCAAAAGGUGCCUCACGCCCCCAUCUAAAGUCUAUUGAUUUUUCCAAACAUUUCUCAAGUCCCUCUUUCUCAGGCAGAUCUAAGCACAGGGCAUGUUCUGUGUGACCCUGCACAUGUGGCAGAAGAACAUGAUGCCAAGUGGUGGGAAAAGGCAAGUUGCUGCUGGCUUGUAGCUUGCUUCACCUGAGCUUAUCAGCAGGGCUGCUAUGGGUAUGUGCUGCUUAUUGCCCCAGUGCAGAACAGCUACCUGCAUUUGUGCACUUACCACACAAAACUUUCUGUCUUAAUACUUUAUUGCUGCUGGAGGGCAGAUAAUAGCUGGUGACCAGCAGCUGCAAAAUGCGCUCCUGUAGGUAUUUGAAUUAACAUCCAAGCAUAUAAGCCAGGAGAUAAGUGGGAGCAGGCCCAGCUGCUCAGCCUUUCUAGAGCAAAUCUGAGGUGAUAGGUGCACCUGGACGAGCUCUCACAGCCCUCAGUACGUGGUCUGCAGCUGCAGGGAAACGUGGCCGUGCUCCCUCAGCUCUGCUCUUUGUGCAGGAGAGGAAGGGCACCCAAAGCCCAGGGAGACUGCAGCUGGAGAGAGAGACUGCUGGGCUGGAGCAGGGGUAACCUGUGCCACUGGCACACUGUCUCCCUCAGGGAGCGCUUCACCCUGCUUGAGCUUCCUUAUUUCUGCUUCUUUCCUUUACCCGAAUAAAUUCUUAAUCUGUACCACCAUAUCCCCGUCCCUCCUCUGGGCCUCUGCAACAAGAUCUAGAUCCCCAUGGACUGCCCUCAAAGCACUUCGUGACAAAGCACAAAAAAUAAAACGGUGCUGAAAGGAAGAAAGAGAAACGGAGUUUUUUAAGCUGUCACUGUUUUCUGCAUGGGUGAAAAAGGAGCUAAGAACAGGGUAAAAGAACCUGAAGUCACAGGGCAGGAAUUACUGGAAAACAACUCAGUCAUCGGUGUUUGCUGGUGUUUGCCAACAAACAAAUAAAUCACGAGGCCCUACAGGUGACAAAAGAAAAUGCUCAGUAGCAGCAGUUGCAUUUUCUACUCCAACACUCUGCACACUGACACAAAGUCUGGACAGCCUUAGACCAGCCAGACCCCAAGGGAACUCAUGCUUUUCUCUGUUUUUCCUACUUUCGUGUAACCCAAGAUCCAUUUACCAACACCUUAGGAGGACAUGGGCCUCAUGACAGAGUCAAGGUCUGUCCAGAGGACUUUCCUCUUCUGGUUGAGGAUUCGUUUUUCCACAGGGACCUCACUGCACACAACUGCACACUCAUUUCCCCUCGUAUAGACUUCUGCAGUUUAAAGGUUCAGGGGAGAGCUGGAGACUAUAACCUGGAAAAUCUGAACUGCACCAUUCAGUGAAACACUUGGUCUGCUUCAGUGAGGGAGAAGCAUGGGGUGGAUCAGAGCAACCUGAAACAUUGCACAAAGAUAAGGAAUGAUAAAAAGCUGUUGUGUGCUCAACAGUCACCUCACAGAGCAGCUGCCCUAACGACAGGAUUUGAUGCUAGCUGAUGAGGAGUUGUAAAACUUGUUCCACCUUUAUCGUCUGAUUCCAGGCUCAGCAUCUGCCCAAGGGAACGCCGUGGCUCAGCUGCCUUUCAUUUGUCUUUGUGACCAUCAUUAACGCUGGUUUCCUUGCUGCAAUUAGUGCUGAGACGAUGCUUGCUGGCCAAGUCCUUUGGCACAAAAUCUGCAGUAUGAGUCACCCGUGCCCUCAUGCCAUUACGAGGUAUGGAACAGCUCGCACAGGCUAUGCCUCUGAGUUGUUCUGGAAUUUCAUAUCCAGCAAAGGACUGUUUAUUGCAUGCAGCCCAGCAGCUGCCUUCCAGCCCAGCAGACCACCUGGGAAAGCUUGGUGCUCUGGCUGGCAUAAGGGAACACUGCACAGAGCUCCCCUCGUGCUGCCCAUAUUGCACAUCAAACAGCUCCUCAGGACAAAGCCUACAGAUUGUAAUAGCCUUUGGGUUAUCUUUUAGAUCCAGCAGGAGCUGUUCCACUGCCCCAGCAGCUCAGGCACAGCUGAGUCAUAGUUUCAUUACCCUUUGGCAUGCUCACAUGAGCUUCUGCUUCUUCUUUUAUCUGUUGCUGGACUCUCUUCCCUAGAUUUUCCUGAGCACUGUUGAAAGGCUGUUACAGCUACGUGCAUUCUCCACAUUGCUGCAGCUCAGCUUUGGAAAACCCCUUAAAUAUACAUACCAGGCCCCAUGAAAUUUGUUUUCCCUGCCUUUCCCAGCAAGUAUACAACCACCAGCCCAAGUUUAACUGCACCCAGCCUGCAUGCAGAUGCAUUCACCAACGCUACUCAAAGGUUUUAGUGCUCCACUGCUGCCAAUACAACCAGCUGGGGACUGUUAUAAAACACACCGGGCCACAGCUGAAGCUCACCUAUGUUACAGUGAAGGCGUGUAGCCUUCAGGGAAGCCAAGUCUGUUGUGUAAAUGUGUAGAAAUCAUAAACACGGAGUAGGACUAAGUUGCCUCGGAUAAAUUUUAUUAGAGAUGACCCUAAAUCAUAUGCUUCAGAGCGACUGAAAUGUAGCUGCAAGAGUGUAACCAAGAAAAGGCUGUUGGGGUUGCGUUCUGUUCAGAAUUAAUCAUGUUCUGGCAGCAGACGUGGUAUUUCACAUGAAUACUUGUCCUGGAUUGUAUCACAACAUCAAAAAACCCCGCAGGUGACAGGUUUAGUGCAAUAACAUCAGGUGGAUCAGACCCAAGAGCACAUUGUUGCGCUAUAAUGAGCCCAGUUAGAGGACACGACCUUGGAGGACAGAGCUGAAAACCUCACCUCAAUCCUGCAGCUGACUGCACGUAACAGACAGCAUGCAUGGCAAAAAAAGCUUACAUCCAGCUCCACAUUUCACAAAAAUGUUUAAGAACCAUCUACCCUUUGAUAUAUUGUUUGUAUCUGAAUGUUGAAAAAUCCACAUCCGUCAGUUAUUGCUGUUGCAGCUUUUGACUGGUAUUUGCCACUAUUACAAACUCCAAUGCAUCAGUAAUUCCCAGCGUACAGAUUUCUCACCUUCCACCUUCGCUGCAGUCUGAAGCGGUCACUUUAACAAGGUGAAGUGACCACGAUUUUGAGGACUUAGGGCUACUUCUGCAACCUUCUGUGCAGUACAGCGAAACCUACAGUUGGGAAUCUGCUUGUGCACGGGGACUGGACUCAAUUCCCAGAGGUCCCUUCCAACCCUUACAAUUCUGUAAUACUUAAAAGAAAUGUUCCUGCACACGCACAUAUAUCGACUCCAAAGCAGUGAGUAACAUUAACUACACGAUAGCGUUUGAAGAGAAGGGAUGCUAGUUCCUUGCAGCAGAGUUGACCUGGGAAUAACACCGCUUCCCAGUUAAACGUGCGAGUGCUCACAUCUGUUUGAAUUUUCACUUCUUCCCAAUAUACCUUUGAACAACUCCCACGGCCUGAGAAAACCUUAGUUCUGGCCUCAUGCUUCACUCCUCCUCCCUGUCCCCAGUUUGUGUGCAUAGGGACAUUACAUCUCUGUUGAUGACUUCUAAGAUUUGAGAGGCCUUUUAUUACUUUUUUUAAAAACCUCCAAAAUUCGGAGUGCAUGUGUUCCCAGAUUCCAGCUUGAAGAUGUUUCUACCUUGCUUUAGGGAAUGCACCCAAGGAUGAAUUCACCAGGUCCAGGGAAGCCUUAAAGCAGCAUUCAUUUCUCGAAGUCAAUACUCACCAUUUCCUGCCUACACGGUAACACUGCCACCUCACAAACACAAGAAAACCAUAGCCAAAUUAAUUUACAGCAGCAGAGUUAAACAUCUACACUUGCAUCUCAAGGAAGUCUUCAGUAUUAAGUGAAGAGCUAUGCAAUGAUAGGCCUACAGGGCAAGGGCCUUUUACAGCCCCUCAUGGAUUGCCUACACCCAAACUAAAACCUUUCCUGAAGGUUGCAGGUAUUGUCUCCAACUGAAGAUCAGCUGCAAUGUUCUGCUAGCCGGUACCACCAAACAAGUGUAUUUAGACUCCAUUCCUUCCUGCUGGAGAAACAAUGGUAAUCAAGGGAAGAACAGUCAGCAGCAUUUUUAGUCACGCUGUAUGCACUGUUUGGAACAAGGCUGAGCUGUGGGCAAGGGGAGCUGCAGGAGCCCUCUCUAAACAGAAGCUCCAAUAAACUGAAGAGCGAAUGUAUUUCAAAGCAGCAGCUUAUUCAUAUAUCCUUGAUUUACAUUUCUCAACAUCCCAUACAGAGUCAAGAAGCCGAGACAUUCAGUUCCUCAGAAGCUUUAUUUUCAUUCAAGCUACAGAAAUAAAGUACCACCUUUAAAUUGGUCAUCAAACUUUCUGCAUAUUUAUAUGGCUCAGGGUGAAAUGCACUAAGAUAACUACCCUGUACAUAGGAAAGAAAAGGCUCCAACAAAACACAGCUCUAGUUCCAAAAAUGCCAAACCUUAGAUGUAAGGUUGGCUUCAACUCUUCGAUAACGUAACAGUAAUAGACAAAACAUAAGGAAAAAGAGAGAGAUCUAAACUAUCCACUAUAAGCAAAACCCAAGAUUAAUUACAGAAAGUCAUCCAAAGAAACCUUUCAGAAAUAACGGUAUUCUACUCUGGAAAAUAGAAAAAAUAGAUGAGUCAUUUUUGCUUUUAUAUGAUAUAUUCACACACAUACUUUCAAGUAUCAUUUCCAUUAUUAUCAUACAUGGCUAAAAAAAAAAAGAGAAGUGAAAACCCCAUAAGUAGACCAUGCCAAAGAAGUCACAGUCUUUAUCCGGGGGGGGGUCAGCAACAGCUGGAAUUCCACACAUUGUAGUGACCAAAAAAGCAGGGACUGGACUCCGUAAUCUUUACCUUUAGUUUAAAACAUUUUAGAAAAAAAAAAAGAAAUGGGAAAAGUACAGGCAGUCAUAAACCUCACCUACUCGUGUUAAGUUUGUCACGGGCUCAGUACUGGCAGGGGAUAAGAAAACUGAGUUCAGCACACAACUGAUACCAACAGACUGACUUCAGCUAGGUUGUUUUUACAUUUAAGGCAUCACACUAAAAGUGCUGGGAAACAAAACAAUCAUCGUGUUCAGUCACAAUUCACAUUUAACUCUCCAGACAUCAGAAUCUGCUUUAUUUCUAAACAGGAAGGCUUAUGGGGCAUCCCGUGGCCCUUUGGGAAAAUGCCAGGCAGCCACAAGGCAUGAGCAGAAGCAGAAAUGACCAUGGAAAGGAAUUAUAUGGAAAGGAAUUUAAGUGCUUAUUAAAGGCUUUGUUGCAGAGCUAGAUGCCUGCUAACAAGUUCUGGCAGAAUACAAAACUUCCACAGAUAAAGGGCAGAGAUUCCGUUCAAGCAGCUACACUGUAGAGAUCAAAAUGCAAAGUCUUCAAAUUUCAGCAGCUUCUGUAGCUUUGAAAUGGUAAUGGGGAGGUUCAGCAGGUGGGUUGGAUAGCAGAUUGCAUUGGACAGCUAAGACUGGUUGGAUCCACAGCUUGCGCUCCCGCUCACCUGGCUGGGAUAGACUCUUGAAACAAAAUGGUCAGGACUACUGUGGUGUCACUUUCAGAUAACUGGUAGCUGAGAGAUGGGGAUGUGGAGAGUAUAGCUGUAGUGGAGAAUAUCAACAAGUCAUCUAAGCAAAGUAGACUCUUGCCACACAGCCUCAGUUCCCAAAAAUGAAGACGUCUUGCUGGAUAUGAGAAGGCACGCAUUCUCCAUAAGAACUCUGUGAGACCUAAUUAAAAGCUACUCACUGAAAAUUGUAGAAACCAUUGACUGUUCUUAAGAGGGUAGUGGAUUCAUACGGAAAACAUCUAAGACUAAGGACCAGGCAGCCUGAAAGCUCUAUGAGUCUCACCAGAAGGCUCAACCACAUUGUUUAGUUCUUGCCAGUGCAGGAUGUCCUUUAAAAACCUGGUUUUAAAACUAUCAGGUCCAGACUCAAAUGUAAAGCUUCUUAUAAACAAGGUUGGUUACAUAUACCAAAGAUGAUCCAUAUCACUUUACUAGGUUCAAACCUAAUGUUUUUGCUUUUAUUAAAGGUCCCAUGGAGUAUUUUUCUCAGCCUUUGUGUAGGACAAGACAUCAUUCUGUUACGUAGAAGUUUGAAGCUCAGUUUAAGCUCUAAGAAAAAAAAAGACGACUCCAAAUUCCCACAAUUUGAUCAACUCAGUAAAAAAUUAGUUUUCCUGAGCUAGAGACAGUCUGAAACAAGACAGUGAAGCUACAAAGGGACAAGAAAGGGAUAAUGAAAAGCACUGCCUAUUCCAAGACUUACAGGAGACCCAGAAGCUGUUGAUUCAUAUGUACUCCUGAUCUUUAAUCCCCUCUUCCCAGGCUGUAUCUUGGCACAUUCAUGCACCUCUUUGAACACAGUCUUUUUUUUUUUUUUUUCUUUCCUUGCUUUGCUGGUUUUGUACCAUAUAAAAACACUUCAAAAUAGACACUUCAGACAUUUAUUGUCCAGUCUUCUCAGGCUUACUGAAACACAUUUAGGUAAAUGGUUAGCUGUUGUCAGAGUUUAAUGACAUUAAAUACUUUGUACAAAACUAGUUAUUUAAACAAAUUUAAGUGUCUACUGCCUCUUGUUCUGUAAGGCAGUGGCUGUUUUAUUAAUACACAGAAUGGACAGCUCUCAGGUUUCUCCCAUGGUAUCCUGUAAGAAUACAGACUACACCAUCAUAACAACAUUAUGCAGCACAAAACAAUUGGCAAGUUUGAGAGAAUGAGGUUCAUGGUCACUUAUUACUUUCUGGCAAGAAAUCACAGGCAUAGGUUAGAUAUUUGAUAAAGUAAAUAUGUAAUUUGAUUUUCACUCGAGUCUCCUAGAAACACAGCAAUUGAUAUUUCAGCAAUGAAAAGCUUCAAAUCAACCUACUGCAACUUUUCAAACUAUGGUGCAAGUCAGUUGGCUUCUUAAGUAGGCUCAGGCUCAGAAAUUUGAGACCACACUGAAAAUACCAUCAGUCACCUUCCUAGGUGAGCAAAUGCAGCUACCUUGGACAAUAUUCAAUUCAGUCUUGUAGUGAAAUUAAACAACACUAUAUCCUUCUCACAAGAGCAUUCAAUUUAAACUUGAAGCUCUUCACAGACGGACAGUGCUACCUACGUUUUUGAAUUAGAAUUAGCCUAGAUCCAGUGCUCCCAAAUUACAUGUACCUAAACACACUAACGUUACCACUCAAGAAACCGAUUCACCUUAACCUUUCCAUGCAUGCAAGUCUUACUUAUUUAGGAUAAAUACUAGCUUAUUAGGAAGUGUCAAAGCUAUUAUAAACUUUACUCAUCUUGGGGGUUACGAUACAGAACAGAAAUGGUUUAAAGAGACUUAAUUUGAGCUUACUUUAAUUGAAAAGAUGACUACUGAAGUAGUAAGUCUGAAAACAGGUAGAGAUUACUAUAUUCUAUGAAUGGCCCUAUAAAACAAACUCAUCUCGCUCUACAAUCCUGCUGAAUCAGGGCAGGCAAACAGUAACACCAGAAUCUACAGAAACCAGCAUACAAACAGCCUAACGGUGCUCCCCACCUUCAACGCCCAUCCUAGUUAAUGACCAAUACUGAAGGCAUAGUAUCAUUAGAUGUCACGAGAUACAGAAACCUGCUACGUGUUUCUUUUUAGAUAGAUUCAGAAGCUAAUGUAAUGUCUUUUUGGUAUUAUCUAAUGCACUACUUUCUUAUAAAAUGUGCAAGAAAGUGUUUAAGUCUACCUACGCAUGUAGAAAUACUUAAUCAGAGGCAGACCAAAAAGCCUAACUCAACUAAAGCUUCAUCACCAGUGAGUGACUAAACUUGCUUUAAGGAAUUUAAUUCAAGACCAACAAACCAAUACACAUCUGCCUUUAAGUUUAAAGAGCUAUAUAGUCCUGUUAAGAUCCUAAAGGACUAAAAAUUAAGAACACCACAACACUGAUUUGCUGUAUGCUCUACUUUUAUACAGAAAAAAGGUUCUAGUAUUGUACUCAAAAUGAGAAUUGAACUCAGUGGCCUUCUCCAAAAUUCUCCCCUAAUCCUGCACGUCAAACUAACCUGCAGCUCCCACAGGAACUUUCAGACCAAAGUUUUGUUUCACAGUAAGACAUGCAAAACAGACUGUCUAGUUCCUCAUACAUUUGUUUUGUUGCCAUUUCUCUAGUGCUCUUGACUUUUAUUUCACACAGCAAUUAUAUACGUAUAAUAGAACCAUUCACUUCAGAGCUUCUACUGUGACCAGAUGGCCUCUUAAGUACCUCCAAAUUUCCUGGUAUGCACCAAAGUCAAAAGAGAAACUGUGCAAACCAUGAUCAGUUAGACCAAUCGCUAAGAGAAAACAGUAGCCACAUCAAUAUAACUUCACUUUCAUUUAGGGUGCUAUCUAAUGGAUUUAGUAAAAGUUUCAAUAAACCAUAGCUCC